rnacentral:lncRNA from 1 species
CUCCGAUGCUUAAGUCAAAGGGGGGCAAUCUGUGUUUAAAGGAGAAAGAGGAGAAUAGUGUCUCUUGAGUUUUCUGUGUCCAACCCCCCUUUGAGAAGCAAGGGUUCCCUUUUAUAGGGGGGUCGGUUUACCUGCGAUGUGAUGGAGCGAGACCGUCGUACGGCUCGGCAUGUUGCUUGGACUGGCACACGAUCAGGUGAAUCAUUACAUUGAUGUCGGAGAUGAAGCCGUCGUACGACCCGAGCUGGCACGUGAUCAGGUGAAUCAUUGCAUUGAUGUCGGAGGUAAUGCCGAGAUCAGAGACUUAUCACGGUUGACUGGACUCCGCUGAGCUGAUUUGCCGUGGAGAGCCGUGGGUCCGUAGAUAAUAGGGGCCAUGCGCAUUAAUUGUUGAGUAGGCCGGAGGUGCGCAUUAAUUGUUGAGUGGGCCGGAGAUUCGCAUUAAUUGUUGAGUGAACCGGGGGUUUGCAGAGGUCAUGCGCAAUAAAUGCUGGGACAGUGGCAGGAUAUGGCCCUCGGCCGGACCUCGGAGGGGUACGACCGUAGUAGGUGGUCGACAAGGACAGACCUCUGGGGUCGGAAAUUCUCCAGGUCGGAGGUUCUGAGGUCGGACGUUCCGAGGUCGGACGCCGACCUCAGUCGUCCAAGGUCGGCGGCUAUGCGGCUUCUUAGGGGCGGGGUUACUAUAUUGCUGGGGGAAAACCGUAUUCCCCCAACACAAACCUAAAUAGAAUAAGUAUAUACUAAACAUGAAUAGAUGAAUUGUUAUGCAACAUUAAUAUAUACAAAAAUUUUAUACUUUACAUAAUCAAAAUAUAUGCUAUAGUCAAAAACCAUUA